CUAAAAAAGUUCAGUAUGAAAGUCCUCAACAUCAACAUCUUGAAACUUAUUAUAGCUGUCAUUCUGUAUUGUGUUCUGUUCGUCGAAGAACAAGAGAUAGGCGAAAAUGCAACAUGUACACCUUUUACCCGCAAAAUCCCAAAUGUAGCUCAACUGGAAACUGAAACGCAUUAUAUUUACUGAAUUUAGAAACAUACGUGUUCACAUUCACGUAUUGUAAUCUUCGCUUCAAAACGUAUAACACAAAAUAAAACAUGCUCGUCUUAACCUAAUUUAAAAGGCCACGCAAAAA